rnacentral:rRNA from 1 species
CGCGGUAUACGUAGGGUGCAGCGUUAAUCGGAAUUACUGGGCGUAAAGCGUGCGCAGGCGGUUCGGAAAGAAAGAUGUGAAAUCCCAGGGCUUAACCUUGGAACUGCAUUUUUAACUACCGGGCUAGAGUGUGUCAGAGGGAGGUGGAAUUCCGCGUGUAGCAGUGAAAUGCGUAGAUAUGCGGAGGAACACCGAUGGCGAAGGCAGCCUCCUGGGAUAACACUGACGCUCAUGCACGAAAGCGUUAAGUGAUCCACA